ACAGUAGUCCUCUGCCUCCACCGCCCCGGGAUCUCCUUGCGCUCGGUCCUCUACGUGGAGUCACCUAUGCAGAGGAAUUCCACGGGGCGGGGGCGAGGACAGGGUGCGGGGGUCUUUAUGGCAGACAAUCCCCGGCUGAGCGCUUGGCCAGAGUUUCUGUGAUGCUAGAAUCUGGACUGCCUGCGACCUCUCCGGGACUCGGACACCAGCCCUCGCCUCCUGGUGAUCUUUUAGGUCCUGCAGAGAAGUGAAGAGAUCUCGCUCUGUCACCCAGGCUGGAGUGAAAUGGCACAAUCUUGGCUCACUGUAACCUCCGCCCCCAGGUUCGACUGAUUCUCGUGCCUCAGCCUCCUCAGUAGCUGGGAUUACAGAUGAGCCCCAGAGAGGCGAAGCCACUUGAGCUCGUGAGUGACAGUCAGAUGUCAAGCCCUGCUCUUUCUAAAGCGUGCUGCCUUCAGAAAAGAAGAGCCAGAAGGAUGGAAAUUACUUCAGAAAGAUGAAUACCAGCUUUGAAGGAAUAAAAGCUGACGAGGAAUUGAAGGAGUUGAGGCACGAGCUUGAACAGGGUUGCAUGUUUGGCCCUUGAUUGUAAAUGCCCAUUGCUGCACCUGUUCCUGUUACUUGGGGAGUUGCAGCAGAAGGAACAGCGGCCUGGGACUCCAGAGAACUGGGUUCCCUCUCAUCCCUCCAGGGCCACCACUUCUUGUGGGCCCUUGGGCAAGUCACUGUACUUUCUGAGUCUCAGUUUCCCCAUUUGCAGAAUGGAAAUAACUACCCCGGUCUACCAACUUAGAAGAAUUGCUUUGAGGAUCUGAUAAGGUGGUGUGGAUGAUGCUGCCUUGGGGGCUUUACAGUCUGGAGCUCAAGGGACCCCUUAAGUUGGGCUUACUUAGUAACUCCAGGGGUGGGCAGAACAGGACUCCAAUGAGGGUUUUUUUCUUUUUCCCUUUUUUUUCUUUUCCUAUCUCUUAACUUUUAUCUUUAUUAUUUUACAAUGCCCUUGUAAGAUGAAACAAGUGAUGCUGAAAUAUCUUUUUCUUUUUUAACCUUUAUUUUAGAAUUGGGGUACAUGUGCAGGUUUGUUACAUAGGUACAGUGUGGGCUGCUGAGGUUUGGGAGUACGAAUGAAUUAGUCACCCCAGUGGUGAGCAUAGUGCCCGAUAAGUGGUUUUUUCAACCCUUACUCCCAUCCCUCUCCAUUCUUGUGUUCCCCAGUGUCUGCUGUUCCCAUUUUUAUGACCAUGUGUACUCAAUGUUUAGCUCCCACUUAGAAGUAAGAACAUGCCCAGCACUUUGGGAGGCCGAGGUGGGUGGAUCAUGAGGUCAAGAGAUCGAGACCAUCUUGGCUAACAAAGUGAAACCCUGUCUCUACUAAAAACAUAAAAAAUUGGCCGGGUGUGGUGGUGGGCACCUGUAGUCCUAGCUACUCGGGAGGCUGAGACAGGAGAAUCGCCUGAACCGGGGAGGUGGAGGUUGCAGUGAGCUGAGAUUGUACCACUGCACUCCAGC
rnacentral:lncRNA from 1 species